rnacentral:rRNA from 1 species
AUUGAACGCUGGCGGCAUGCCUUACACAUGCAAGUCGAACGGUAAUGCGGGGCAACCAGGCGACGAGUGGCGAACGGGCGAGUAACGCAUCGGAACGUGCCACGUGGUGGGGGAUAGCCCGGCGAAAGCCGGAAUAAUACCCCACACGACCUACGGGAGAACGGGGGGGAUCGCAAGACCUCUCGCUAUAGGCGCGGGCGAUGUUAGAUUAGCUAGUUGGUGGGGUAAAAGCGUACCAAGGCGACGAUCUGUAUCUGGUCUGAGAGGACGACCAGUCAGACUGGGACUGAGACGCGGCCCAGACUCCUACGGGAGGCAGCGGUGGGGAAUUUUGGACAAUGGGCGAAAGCCUGAUCCAGCCACGCCGCGUGCGGGAAUAAGCCCUUCGGGUUGUAAACCGCUUUUGUCAGGGAAGAAAUCUUCUGAGUGAAUGCCUCGGGAGGAUGACGGUACCUGAAGAAUAAGCACCUGCUAACUACGUGCCAGCCGCCGCCGUAA